rnacentral:rRNA from 1 species
AGUGAACGCUGGCGGCAGGCCUAAUACAUGCAAGUCGAACGGCAGCACAGUGGAGCUUGCUCCAUGGUGGCGAGUGGCGGACGGGUGAGGAAUACAUGGGAAUCUGCCCAGUCGUGGGGGAUAACGUAUGGAAACGUACGCUAAUACCGCAUGCGCCCUUCGGGGGAAAGUCGGGGACCGCAAGGCCUGACGCGAUUGGAUGAGCCCAUGUUCGAUUAGCUAGUUGGCGGGGUAACGGCCCACCAAGGCGACGAUCGAUAGCUGGUCUGAGAGGAUGAUCAGCCACACUGGAACUGAGACACGGUCCAGACUCCUACGGGAGGCAGCAGUAGGGAAUAUUGGACAAUGGGGGCAACCCUGAUCCAGCCAUGCCGCGUGAGUGAAG